GACAGAGGUCUCGAGCGCUAGGCGGAAUCACUGGGCUUAAAGCGUGUGUAGGCGGAUUUGUAAGUACCUUGUGAAAUCCCACGGCUCACCCGUGGAACCGCUGGGCAUACUGGGGGUCUUGGGCCGUUCAGGGGCGACUGGAACAAGCGGUGGAGCGGUGAAAUGCGUAGAUAUCGCUUGGAACGCCGAAGGUGAAAACAGGUCGCUGGGGACGCGCCGACGCUGAGACACGAAAGCCAGGGGAGCAAACGGG
rnacentral:rRNA from 1 species